UAAGAAAUUACUCGUCUUUGAUUCGGUUCCCCCCUACCACAUACCCAAACCAAGUUCUUCCACAGUCACCACCUUCCCAAAUAGCAGAAACCUAGAAACAUUCAGAAGAUGGUGACCUCCAAGCAAGAUCACGCCAGAGGAGGAGAGAGACCAUGAGGUAUCUGGCGAACUGACCAAGAUCCAAGGGGGUGAAGCUAACAAGGGGAGCCCCUGCAAGCUGCAAUUGACCACCAUCGAGUAAAUCUCCAGCGGCAUGCAGCUCCUAGCCAGCAAGGUGCGUGCAUAAUUUUUGUGCCACCCUAUGCUUCUUAGCACCAUACUCAGCUGUAACUAAGGCUGAAUCAGUUGCCCCAAAGCCAAUAGGAGUAGUGGCACGAUAAAUAUGAGAGAUGACAUUCGUUAGCACAGUUGGGGAAUGGAAAUAAAAUAGGGAAAGCACAUGAGUGCGCACCAACCUGCAGUCGAUGCCGGAGCAGCGCACGGCCGUGUACUCUAGUUCCAGCAUCGGCCAUCCAGCAGCGUAGCUGCGACUACGGCCAGCGACCUGAGCCGGAGGUGAAGGAGAGCUAGCAGACCAGCCCCAAAGUCAGAGCAUUAGGGCUUUAAUCGACAGAGAAAAUUAGGGGAAUAGCAUCAGGAUAGAAGAGGGGAUUCGGAUCCAGUAGCAUGCAUCAUCAAGCCUUGCUCGGUAGUACCUCUACUUGGAGGGCGACCUGAGGCAGGGAACAGGGGGAGAGGGGAGGAAGAAAAGAAGGCUAUGUUCGUGCGUCUAUGUUCUAGUAGAGCAGCAAUUAAUAGCUAGCUCGGUAAGUAGAGAAAAGACUUCUUCAGGCCAAGAAGGGAAGAAGUCCAUAUAACCCCCUAACUUUUCCAAUACCAUUUAAACGCCCCCCUAAACCUAAUUUGAGUGGUUUUAGUAGGCUGUUUUGCCUGCGUGCCACGGGAGACUUCUUCAGGCCAUGGACGCUUCCACCGUCGAGGCCGUUGCUUGGGAGGCCGUCCUGGUAGUCAUGGAGAUAUAUUUGGAUUCCUCCAAUGAUGGUCACGAGCCAUGCUGUGCCGUUCAUUUAAUUACAUCAUAUUUAGAUUAUAAUCUUAGAUUAGAUUAUCUCGCAUUUGGACCCUAUCUAUAUUUAGUUAGAUGUGGUAUCAAGCAUUUGGACCUUGUUUAUGUUAUGUUUGUAUUUGUAUUUCAGUUUGGCAGUUUAGAAAUGAUGGGUUUAAAAUGUUGUUAAAUUGUGUGAUGUCAAAACAUAGUCGCGUGAAAUUGGAGAUGAAACGGAGUCCAUAUAUCCAUACGAGAAACAGGAGAGGAAAAUUGUACUAAAGGGUGCAGUUUUUAGGGAAUCUGGAAAAGGGGGCUCCAACACCUUUAACAUGGUUUUAAUGGUCCCUUUAAAACUGCAUUUAAUAGAGUUGCUCAUUGUGCUCUCCUUUCCUUAAUUUCAGUCAAAUAGUGUUUAUUCUGUAACUUCGUUGAUGGAUAUAUCCAUGUCAGUUGAGAUGUUCUGUUCUACUCUUUUUGCUAUUGUAGCCGCUCAAAUGGGGAGGUUCGGUCCUGUUGAGAACGCGCUCCGGAGUAGUGCAGUAUAAUAGUAAACAGAUUGGAGGAGAAACGAAAGAGAUGAGUAGACCGUUAGGCGCUCCUUCUGGCGACGGCUCGGGCGCCUUGCCCCGGUCGCCCAGUGCUCCGGCCGGAGAGGGCUGGGAGGUGGUUAGGAGAGGUCCUGGCUCCUCCCCGGCUUGGUCGCGGCGGGGCGCGGUGGUGGGUUCGGUGGUGGCGUCGGUAGGAGGUAGGUUUUGGGCGUUGGCAGGAGAGGAGCCGGAGGAUGUGGUCGGCGAGGAUCUGGAGUCGGAGGCAGGGCGGCCGGUGCCUGAGGGCCCGUCGUUGGGUGAUUUUGUCGCCUACGCGCAAGCCGAGGGGAGCGGCGCCGCUGGGGCGCGUCGUCGCUUCGCUCCGGGUGGCCGGGGAUCGCGCGCCGUCGCUGUUCGGGCCUGGCAGCCCUCGCAGACCCCGGUCAGGGGGGCGUCUCCUGGAGAUGCCGCGCGGACGAUCAGGUCGAGGGCGGCGUCCGCGAUGCUCGCUCCGGUAGCCUCGGAGGCUGCGUGGCCGAGCCUGCCGUCGCAGGUGGCCGCCGCCGCCGGUCAGGGGCCGGAGGAGGUGGAGGCGGCGGCAGGGCGGUCGGCAGAGGUCGAUGGCUCUGUUUCCUCGCAGGCUAGGGUUGGCGCUGCUGGGCCUGGGGCCGUGGUCGGGCUAGUGGGCCGUGGGCCGGCCCCCGUGCCUAGGACGGGUGGCGAGGGUGUGUCUUGCCUAGUGGGGCCCACACAUCAGCCUGCGGGCGGUGGCCUGGUUCCUACUGGGCCGACUGGCCCGGCUGGGCACGCGCCAACGCUUCCUAGGUCUAGGCCCAGCCACGGCACAUAUAUAUGGCUGCGGCGCGGCUGCCUCGCCCCCUCGCUAGGGUUUCCCGCAACCAGAAACGAGGUGCGACGCCUUGCUCACCUCGCCAGAUCCAUCCGCCCCACCCCCCUCCUUCGCUUCCCAUUUCCUUUGCAGCGGCGGUGAUGAGCGAGCGGCGCAUGGAGAAGAGGCCGACGGAGGCCCAGGACCUGGAUGGGGAGCGGUGGCGGGAGAGAGACCUGCGGGAGAAGGCGUCGCAGGAGAUGCGCGCGAGGAAAAGCGGUAGAUCCGACCGCUUCCAAGAGCAAGUGGGGCGCGAGGGGGAUUGGGGUCCUCCUCCCCCCUGGUGGAUCCAGCAGCAGGAGAGAAAGAAGAAGAAGAAGGAGAUGGCGCGGCGGCGGGAGCUGGAGCGGAAGCCAAUGGAUCACCCUAACUGUGGUGGUGGCCACGGGGAUCCAUUGGCCAAGAGGCCCAGGGCGGCUUCCGCCCCCCAGACGGUGCCGCUCCUCCCUGGAUCGAAGGGUACGGCGGACGAACCCAUCCCAGUGGAGGAUGUGUCGAAGGCCCCGGAGGUGGAAUGUUUCAAGUGCGAAGACUUGGCCAUUUCCAGUCGCAGUGUAAGUUCAAGCCUUUGUGUGUGCUGUGCAAGGAGGAGGGACACGCGUCUGCGCACUGCCCGACGAGGGGUUGGCAGCCUUGUUUGCAGAUCAUGGGUAGCGCAAUUUCUGGGGAAGGCUUCUUUUGUCUGCAAUUCGAAGAGGAGGAGGAAUCCGAGGGUCCACGGCAGCUCUCUGUUGGCAACGCCGCCAUCCUCUCGGCUGAGCCAGGACGUCUGAGCCUGCGGAUUCUUGUUCAGGAGGUCAACCACAUGGUCACGGGGGAGUGGGACUGGCAAGUCACCCAAGUAGGAGAGGACGAUUUCAUGGUGGUGUUCCCUUCAGCAGAUCUCCUGCAUAUGGCCCGGACUAGUGGCAAGCUUUUCCUUUCUAUCAACGAUAUCAUUGCUAGGGUGCGUGAUGUGGAGCAAGAGGUGAUCCCCCCGAUGGUGAUGCCAGAAGCUUGGGUGCGGCUCUACGGGAUCCCUGAGAAACACCGCAAGAUCGAGCGAAUCAAGGAGGCUUUUAAGAUGCUGGGACGUCCGAUCGUGGUCGACGAGCUUUCUCUCAUAAAGUUGGGGCCUGUGAGGAUGAAACUGGCUUGCAAGUCGCGGGCUAAACUUAACGGCACGGUCGAGGUGUGGUUUAACCAAGAAGGGUAUCAGAUCAAGGUGGAGGUGGAGCGGAUGCCGGGGAGGCUGGGGGACGGAAGUGGUGCAUCUGGGGCGGGCCCAUCCGCCCCCCUUCCACAAAGCCAGCGUGGUGCGGGCGGGCAGCCCAAUCUCAAGCCCGGGACAGCCGCGGUGAUUCACUCCAAGCAAGUUGCUAAGGGUGCGGCAACGGGCAACUCUGCGGCUGGGGGGCACCAGCAGGUGGCGCCGGGCGCGGGUGCGGCCCCGGCUGGCCAAGAUGUGGAGAUGGGCGAGCUGCAAGAGGACCCCGAAGAGAGUAUUCCAGACACUUCCAUUGACACAGAGACUUGGGAAAAGUUGGGUGUGAUAGCUACUCAAGACACUGCUGUUAGUUUCCCCCCCCCCUCGCCCGCUCCCUGGAUCAGUCCUUCGACCAGUACGGCUCCAACUUGCCUCAAAUCAAGCCUGUGCCCUUGACGCUGGUGUUGAAGGAGUCAGACCCUUUGCCUGCUUCUCCAGCGCGCGUAGGGGGCUCGGGGUCAGGACGCGAGGCAACUGACCUUACCCCGGCCUCGGGCAAGCGGAUGUCGAGCGGCUCCGGACGGCAGGGCAAGAAGACAGCAGGGAGGAAACCAUGGAACAAGACGGGGGCCAAGGAGGCGGCGGGUGCGAUCGAAGCGCUGGGAGGAGAGCUUGGAGCGGCUCUGGAGGCGCCAGGGCCGGCGACCAAGGCCAAGCGUUCGAGGGCGACUCCGGUGGCGACCCGGGCUCCUAGCGUGCGCGCCAAGGCCAAGCUCGGGGACUUGUCAUCGGUGGAAAGCGCCAAGCUCCGUGCGGCUGACAAGAACAUGGAUGUGACAGGUAACCCUUCCCCCUCUUACAAGAUCUUAAAUGCCUUUUCUGACGUCCAUCUAGCUGAGAUUCUUCACGAUAGUGGCGUUGCACUAGAUUCAUCGCCUUUGGAUAUCAUUCCCUUAGUUCGCGCACGUGAAGAUGCUCAGGCCGCUCUUGCGGCUGCUGCCGCCCGUUGUGUGGUUGUGCAGCCCGAGGACGGUCUGGCCGUGAUACCAGUAGGGGCUGGUGCAGUAGUUUCGCCCACCGAGGAAGACGAGGCCGGGGUGGCCUCGGACUUGCCUUCUUCCAGCCGAGCGCCGGCAAGGAAGCGUGUGGCCAAGGCGGUGAGCUCCCGUGGAGUUCGCCUGCGUAAUAGGGUUAUCUGAUGAGAUACAUCUACUGGAACAUUCACGGAUGCGGCCAUGGGGGGCGGCGUACGCAGCUCAGAGAGUAUAUGUCUAAAGAGCACAUAGAUUUUGUUGCGCUCCAAGAGACUAUUAAGGCUGAUUUCUCGUUUAGAGAUUUAGUGGCGUAUGAUCCUUUACAGCGUUUUGAUUGGUUUUGGACCCCUUCCAUGGGGCACUCUGGAGGUCAGCUGAUGGGUUGUAAUAGAGAUAUCUGUGAUGUUAUUGCAUGGGAGCCGGGUUUAUUCUAUAUUGCAGUUACUGUCCGUCACCGGGUAUCCUUGGCUACUUGGGUGAUUGUCAGUGUAUACGGGCCGGCGGACCACGCGAGGUCUGCAGAUUUCUUGGGGGAAAUCACAACCUUGGUCGGGGCCAAGCGAGCGGCCAACUUACCCAUCGUGGUGGGCGGGGACUUUAACUUGAUUCGCUCGGGGGCGGACAAGAGCAAUAGCAACAUUGACUGGGCUAGGGUGUCCCUUUUCAACAAUGCUAUCGCGGCUGCGGCUCUUAGGGAAAUUGCGCGGACAGGUGCAAGGUACACUUGGACUAACAAACAGCGGGUUCCAGUGCGAUGUGUUCUAGACCGUGUUUUUUGUUCAAGCGAUUGGGAGGCCCUGUUCCCCCUCUGUACCUUAAUGGCCGAGACGCGCAUUGGUUCAGACCAUGUCCCUUUAAUUCUGUCGUUAGGGGAGGACAGUAGGCGUCGCAGCCGUAGAUUUUUCUUCGAGACGGCGUGGUUCGAACAUGAGGGCUUCUGUCAGUUGGUCACGACUCGUUGGGCCAUGAUUGGCGACCAGGUGGGGUGUCAAAGAGGACCAGUAGAGGUCUGGUCCACUGCGGAUGCGGCUUUGCGGGCUUUCCUCAGGGGAUGGGGGGCCAACCACGGUAGCGAGUCUAAAAGGGAAAGGGAACGCAUCGUGGAAGAAAUCGCGAUUUUAGACGCGCAGGCGGAUGCCAGACCUUUCUCUGGCGACGAAUGGGAGCACCGAUACUCUCUGCAAAACCAGGUCUUGGCUAUCCUUAGAGCAGAGGAGGAGUACUGGCGACGUAGGGGCGGCGUCAAGUGGGUCGUGAAAGGUGACGCCAACACUGGCUACUUCCACGCGUACGCCAAUGGCCGUAAACGCAAGAGUACCAUCCUAAGACUACAGUCGGAGCAUGGGACACUGGUGUCCCAGUCUGAAAUCGUUAAGCACAUCUUCGAUUUCUUUGUCGAGUUGUUGGGAACAGCCGAACAGAAAGGCUUAAGUCUUACGGAAGACUUAUGGGGUCCGGAGGAGAGGGUGUCUCAACAGGAAAACGACGCACUCAUGCUGUCCUUUACGCCACAAGAGAUUGACCUAGCGCUUGCGGGCAUGAAGAACGACACGGCUCCAGGCCCGGAUGGCUGGCCGGUAGAGUUCUUUAAAAAGUUUUGGCCUUUCCUUAGAGAACUCUUCCAAGCUAUUAUCAAUGGCUUCGCCCUAGGUACGGUUGACCUCUCGAGACUUAAUUAUGGGGCGAUUUGUUUGAUUCCCAAGGUCAAAGGGGCGGAUACAAUCAAGCUGUUCCGUCCGAUCACGCUCCUAAAUGUUCCCUUCAAGUUAUGUGCCAAAGCCUUUGCCUCUAGGUUAGCGCCGGUUGCCCAACGAGUUAUCCAAAAGAGCCAGACCGCUUUCCUUAAGGGUAGAAACAUUCUUGAAGGGCCUAUUGCGCUCACGGAGAUAAUCCACGAGUUAAAACGCACUCGUGGACAGGGCGUUAUCCUCAAGCUCGAUUUUGAAAAAGCGUACGACCGCGUAAACUGGGAGUUCGUGCGGGAAGUCCUCCUCAAAAAGGGAUUUGAGGCGGGUUUCGUACACCGGAUCAUGCAUCUGAUCUCGAGUGGAAACACCUCGGCAAUUGUCAAUGGUGAAAAGGGGAAGUUUUUCCGUAAUAGGAAAGGGUUAAGACAGGGCGAUCCCAUCUCCCCACUUGUCUUUAAUUUUGUGGCAGACGCUUUGGCAGCUAUGCUAUCCAAGGCCAGCGAGGCUGGUCAUGUUAAGGGACUCGUUCCACACCUCAUCCCGGGUGGUGUGACCCAUCUACAAUAUGCAGACGAUACUUUGCUUUUGUUUAAGACCGACGACCAUAGCAUCGCCUCCAUUAAGCUUUUGUUAUUAGCCUUUGAGAUCCUGUCUGGACUCAAAAUUAAUUUUCUUAAAAGCGAGGUCAUCACCAUGGGGAUGGACGACCAUCAAAGUCGGCGUGCCGCAAAUCUACUUAAUUGUAAGCUUGGGAGCUUUCCAAUAAAGUAUCUGGGGCUUCCUAUAUCCCAUCGUAAGCUUUCGAUUUCAGAGUGGGAGCCGUUGUAUGGGAAGGUGGCCAAUAGGGUUAGCCCGUGGCGUGGGCGGUUUUUGUCUUCUGCGGCUAGGCUCAUUUUAACUAACUCGAGCCUCUCUUCCCUGCCCCUAUUCACAAUGGGGAUGUUCUUAUUAGCUGAUGGCGUGCACGCUAAGCUAGAUACACCGCGAUCCCGGUUCUUUUGGGAAGGAACUGGUAUCAAGCGGAAAUAUCACCUGGUAAAGUGGGCGGCUGUCUGUAGGCCAAAAAAAUUCGGAGGUUUGGGGAUCCUAAACUCCAAACUUAUGAACGUAGCCCUUCUGUCCAAAUGGUGGUGGCGGCUUGCCCAAAACGAGACGAGUCUCUGGGCUCAGCUGCUAAAGGCUAAGUACUUCCCAAAUGGGAAUCCUUUCAGUGCCCCGGCCAACGGCUCCGUGUUUUGGAAAGGGAUCCAAGCGGUCCGACCAGCGUUUGCUAUCGGGGCCAAAUUCCAGAUUCAAAAUGGACAAUCCACUCGCUUUUGGCUGGAUCAUUGGCUGGGAGCCUCUCCCCUUUGGCAAAGUCACCCCAAUCUUUUUCGGAUCGCUACUGACACCAACAUCUUAGUGGGAGAGGCAGCCCGUACUGACCCUCCAGCGAUCCAUUUUAUGAGGGCCCUUACCAAUGCCGAACGGGAGGCAUGGGACGACCUAGUGCAUCAAAUUGGUGACAACCGUAUAGGGCCGGGCGAAGAUUUGGUCGAAUGGAGCUUGACAGCGUCCCGAAAAUUUUCGGUUAAAUCUUUAUACAACAAGCUUACUGAAGGGACAUCGCUAGACAUAGCUAGGGGGCUAUGGAAGGCAGGCCUGCCCUUCAAAAUUAAAAUCUUCAUGUGGCAAAUGCUCAGAAAUAGGCUGCCCACGUCGGAUAAUGUGGCAAAACGUAACGGUCCGGCUGACGGUACCUGCACUGUGUGCGGUCUAGGUGAAGAUGCUAACCACGUCUUUUUUAGAUGUCACCUAGCCAGGUUCGCGUGGAGUGCAGUUAGGGAAGCCUUCCACUCGAACUUGAACCCAGCCUCGGGGAACGACUUGAUUGCCAUCCUUAAAACCACGAGAGGGACUAGUAGUAGAAUCGCUUGGCGUUGCGUAGGGGCGCUACUGUGGGCUAUUUGGACAACGCGCAAUAAAAUUACGAUUGAGAAAAAAUUUCCUAAUCACCCUGCGGAUGUGAUCUUCAAAUGUCACCUUUUCUUACAGACUUGGACUCCGCUGGGGAAGGAGCGCGAUGCUGAGCGCAUGUCAGAGGCCAUGGCGCGAAUCAUGACUAUCCAGGUGACGGCAAGACAAGACUCGAUGAUUCGAUGAUGCUUUUGGUGCCUUCGGUGGAUGUUUCAUGUUAGAUAGGUCUUCUGCGUUGGAUGAUUUGUAUGGUGUAAUGUUGCCUUCGUGUGGAACCUCUGUGCUGUUUUCUGUCGUCCUCUUGGACUGAACCUGGUUUCUGCUUUUCUGGGUUGUAACUUGCUGAACUAGUGCCUGAGGGCUUUAUUAAUUUAAAGCCGGACGCGUCUAGCGUCUUCGUUUAAAAAAAAGAACGCGCUCCGUGCUACUAUAAACCUCGGUAUGAUCAAAGUCUUGUUGAACUGCG
rnacentral:lncRNA from 1 species